GUGCAGAAAGGGAUGUGAGGUGUUGCAAAGGGAAGCAGCUGCCUUCUCUGGAGAUGGUGUGGAGGGACAAAGAUGCUGCUGCCAGGAUGAGGUGGUGUUGCUGGCAAUGGUGAUGGCAACAGGAAGCAGAUGGAAAAGAGAAAACACUCUCCACUCUCGAGACCUUCACAUUCCCUGGUGCAACCCUGGAAGCGAAUGAGGAGGAGAUGACGCUGUGCUGGCUCCACGCCUGAACAGAGAGGCC